ACGCGAAGAACCUUACCCGGGCUUGAACUGAGGGGGAAUGAAUCAGAGAUGAUUCAGUCUUCGGACUCCCUUGGAGGUGCUGCAUGGUUGUCGUCAGCUCGUGCCGUGAGGUGUCGGCUUAAGUGCCAUAACGAGCGCAACCCUCAUCCUCGUUUGCCAUCAGGGUAAUGCUGGGCACUCCGGGGAUACUGCCAUCGUAAGAUGUGAGGAAGGUGGGGAUGACGUCAAAUCAGCACGGCCCUUACGUCCG
rnacentral:rRNA from 1 species